rnacentral:rRNA from 1 species
UACGGGGGAGCAAGCGUUGUUCGGAUUUACUGGGCGUAAAGGGCGCGUAGGCGGCCACCGCAAGUCGGUUGUGAAAUCUCCGGGCUUAACCCGGAAGGUCAAUCGAUACUGCGGGCUAGAGUGCAGAAGGGGCAACUGGAAUUCUCGGUGUAGCGGUGAAAUGCGUAGAUAUCGAGAGGAACACCUGCGGCGAAGGCGGGAUGCUGGGCUGACACUGACGCUGAAGCGCGAAAGCUAGGGAGCGAACGGG